rnacentral:ncRNA from 1 species
AGGACACCAACCCAUCAGGUUCAGACAUUUGGUGCCUGUGCUUGGCUGAGGAGCCAAUGGUGCGAAGCUACCAUCUGUGGGAUAAUGACUGAACGCCUCUAAGUCAGAAUCCCGCCU